rnacentral:rRNA from 1 species
GAGUUUGAUCAUGGCUCAGAUUGAACGCUGGCGGCAGGCCUAACACAUGCAAGUCGAGCGGAUGAGAGGAGCUUGCUCCUUGAUUCAGCGGCGGACGGGUGAGUAAUGCCUAGGAAUCUGCCUGAUAGUGGGGGACAACGUUUCGAAAGGAACGCUAAUACCGCAUACGUCCUACGGGAGAAGGCAGGGGACCUUCGGGCCUUGCGCUAUCAGAUGAGCCUAGGUCGGAUUAGCUAGUAGGUGAGGUAAUGGCUCACCUAGGCGACGAUCCGUAACUGGUCUGAGAGGAUGAUCAGUCACACUGGAACUGAGACACGGUCCAGACUCCUACGGGAGGCAGCAGUGGGGAAUAUUGGACAAUGGGCGAAAGCCUGAUCCAGCCAUGCCGCGUGUGUGAAGAAGGUCUUCGGAUUGUAAAGCACUUUAAGUUGGGAGGAAGGGCUGCAAGUUAAUACCUUGUAGUUUUGACGUUACCAACAGAAUAAGCACCGGCUAACUUCGUG